rfam:Toxocara canis scaffold431, whole genome shotgun sequence.
AGAGCAGUAGCUCAGUGGUAGAGCUUCCGCUUCGUACGCGGGAAGACCUGGGUUCGAUUUCUGGCUGCUUUC